UACGGAGGGUGCGAGCGUUGUCCGGAAUCACUGGGCGUAAAGGGCGCGUCGGCGGCGCGGGAAGUCAUCGGUGAAAGUUCAGGGCUCAACUCUGAAUCGGCCGGUGAUACUCUCGUGCUCGAGCACUGUAGAGGCAGGUGGAAUUCCGGGUGUAGCGGUGGAAUGCGUAGAGAUCCGGAAGAACACCGGUGGCGAAGGCGGCCUGCUGGGCAGUAGCUGACGCUGAUGCGCGACAGCGUGGGGAGCAAACAGG
rnacentral:rRNA from 1 species